UGGACCAAUGAUGGUGACUGAUGGCGCAUGAGUCGUAUACGAUGAAUACUGCGUGUCUGAAACUCUGCGGUCCAA
ensembl:snoRNA